rnacentral:rRNA from 1 species
CAGUCGACGAACCUUUCGGGGUUAGUGGCGGACGGGUGAGUAACGCGUGAGAAUCUGCCCUCAGGAGGGGGAUAACGACUGGAAACGGUCGCUAAUACCCCAUAUGCCGAGAGGUGAAAUGAAUUUCGCCUGAGGAUGAGCUCGCGUCUGAUUAGCUAGUUGGUGGGGUAAAGGCCUACCAAGGCGACGAUCAGUAGCUGGUCUGAGAGGAUGAUCAGCCACACUGGGACUGAGACACGGCCCAGACUCCUACGGGAGGCAGCAGUGGGGAAUUUUCCGCAAUGGGCGAAAGCCUGACGGAGCAACGCCGCGUGAGGGAUGAAGGCCUCUGGGCUGUAAACCUCUUUUCUCAAGGAAGAAGAUCUGACGGUACUUGAGGAAUAAGCCACGGCUAAUUCCGUGCCAGCAGCCGCGGUAAUACGGGAGUGGCAAGCGUUAUCCGGAAUUAUUGGGCGUAAAGCGUCCGCAGGCGGCCUUGUAAGUCUGUCGUUAAAGCGUGGAGCUUAACUCCAUUUCAGCGGUGGAAACUACAAGGCUUGAGUGUGGUAGGGGCAGAGGGAAUUCCCGGUGUAGCGGUGAAAUGCGUAGAUAUCGGGAAGAACACCAGUGGCGAAGGCGCUCUGCUGGGCCAUAACUGACGCUCAUGGACGAAAGCCAGGGGAGCGAAAGGGAUUAGAUACCCCUGUAGUCCUGGCCGUAAACGAUGAACACUAGGCGUCGGGGGAAUCGACCCCCUCGGUGUCGUAGCCAACGCGUUAAGUGUUCCGCCUGGGGAGUACGCACGCAAGUGUGAAACUCAAAGGAAUUGACGG